rnacentral:rRNA from 1 species
ACUCCUACGGGAGGCAGCAGUGGGGAAUAUUGCACAAUGGGGAAGCCCUGAUGCAGCCAUGCCGCGUGUGUGAAGAAGGCCUCGGUUGUAAAGCACUUCAGUAGGGAGGAAGGUAGUGUAGUUAACACCUGCACUAUUUGACGUUACCUACAGAAGAAGCACCGGCUAACUCCGUGCCAGCAGCCGCGGUAAUACGGAGGGUGCGAGCGUUAAUCGGAAUUACUGGGCGUAAAGCGCAUGCAGGCGGCCUGUUAAGUCAGAUGUGAAAGCCCGGGGGCUUAACCUCGGAAUUGCAUUUGAAACUGGCAGGCUAGAGUCUUGUAGAGGGGGUAGAAUUUCAGGUGUAGCGGUGAAAUGCGUAGAGAUCUGAAGGAAUACCAGUGGCGAAGGCGGCCCCCUGGACAAAGACUGACGCUCAGAUGCGAAAGCUGGGGAGCAAACAGGAUUAGAUACCCUGGUAGCACAGAG